rnacentral:rRNA from 1 species
GAUGAACGCUGGCUACAGGCUUAACACAUGCAAGUCGAGGGGAAACGCCGGGGAAGCUUGCUUCCCCGGGCGUCGACCGGCGCACGGGUGAGUAACGCGUAUCCAACCUGCCUCUGACUGAGGGAUAACCCGUCGAAAGUCGGCCUAAUACCUCAUGGCAUCGUCUGCGGGCAUCCAACGACGAUUAAAGAUUUCAUCGGUCAGGGAUGGGGAUGCGUCUGAUUAGCUUGUUGGCGGGGUAACGGCCCACCAAGGCUACGAUCAGUAGGGGUUCUGAGAGGAAGGUCCCCCACAUUGGAACUGAGACACGGACCAAACUCGUACGGGAGGCAGCAGUGAGGAAUACUGGUCAAUGGGCGGGAGCCUGAACCAGCCAAGUAGCGUGCAGGAUGACGGCCCUAUGGGUUGUAAACUGCUUUUAUGCGGGGAUAAAGUGAGGGACGUGUCCUUCAUUGAAGGUACCGCAUGAAUAAGGACCGGCUAAUUCCGUG